rnacentral:rRNA from 1 species
GGAUGCGAUCAUACCAGCACUAACACACCAGAUUUCAUCAGAACUCCGAAAGCUAAGCAUGCUUGGGCGAGAGUAGUGUUAGGAUGGGUGACCCCCUCGGAAGUCCUCGUGUUGCAUCCC